CCUACGGGAGGCAGCAGUAGGGAAUCUUCCACAAUGGACGAAAGUCUGAUGGAGCAAUGCCGCGUGAGUGAAGAAGGUUUUCGGAUCGUAAAGCUCUGUUGUUGAAGAAGAACAUAUGUGAGAGUAACUGUUCACGUACUGACGGUAUUCAACCAGAAAGCCACGGCUAACUACGUGCCAGCAGCCGCGGUAAU
rnacentral:rRNA from 1 species